GGAGUGUGGUGAAGUGGUAUCACAUUCGCUUUGCAUGCGAAAGGCCCCGGGUUCGAUUCCCGGCUCUUCC
rnacentral:tRNA from 1 species